UACGUAGGUGGCAAGCGUUAUCCGGAUUUACUGGGUGUAAAGGGCGCGUAGGCGGGAAUGCAAGUCAGAUGUGAAAUCUCCGGGCUUAACCCGGAAACUGCAUUUGAAACUGCAUUUCUUGAGUGUCGGAGAGGUAGAUGGAAUUCCUAGUGUAGCGGUGAAAUGCGUAGAUAUUAGGAGGAACACCAGUGGCGAAGGCGAUCUACUGGACGAUAACUGACGCUGAGGCGCGAAAGCGUGGGGAGCAAAC
rnacentral:rRNA from 1 species